rnacentral:rRNA from 1 species
UACGUAGGGUGCAAGCGUUGUCCGGAAUUAUUGGGCGUAAAGAGCUCGUAGGCGGUCUGUUGCGUCGGCUGUGAAAACCCGGGGCUCAACCCCGGAACUGCAUCCGAUACUGCGUGGCUAGAGGUAGGUAGGGGGAGAUCGGAAUUCCUGGUGUAGCGGUGGAAUGCGCAGAUAUCAGGAGGAACACCGGUGGCGAAGGCGGGUCUCUGGGCAGUAACUGACGCUGAGGAGCGAAAGCGUGGGGGAGCGAACAGG